GGGUUGUGAGGUUAAGCGACUAAGCGUACACGGUGGAUGCCCUGGCAGUCAGAGGCGAUGAAGGACGUGCUAAUCUGCGAUAAGCGUCGGUAAGGUGAUAUGAACCGUUAUAACCGGCGAUUUCCGAAUGGGGAAACCCAGUGUGAUUCGUCACACUAUCAUUAACUGAAUCCAUAGGUUAAUGAGGCGAACCGGGGGAACUGAAACAUCUAAGUACCCCGAGGAAAAGAAAUCAACCGAGAUUCCCCCAGUAGCGGCGAGCGAACGGGGAGCAGCCCAGAGCCUGAAUCAGUGUGUGUGUUAGUGGAAGCGUCUGGAAAGGCGCGCGAUACAGGGUGACAGCCCCGUACACAAAAAUGCACAUGCUGUGAGCUCGAUGAGUAGGGCGGGACACGUGGUAUCCUGUCUGAAUAUGGGGGGACCAUCCUCCAAGGCUAAAUACUCCUGACUGACCGAUAGUGAACCAGUACCGUGAGGGAAAGGCGAAAAGAACCCCGGCGAGGGGAGUGAAAAAGAACCUGAAACCGUGUACGUACAAGCAGUGGGAGCACGCUUAGGCGUGUGACUGCGUACCUUUUGUAUAAUGGGUCAGCGACUUAUAUUCUGUAGCAAGGUUAACCGAAUAGGGGAGCCGAAGGGAAACCGAGUCUUAACUGGGCGUUAAGUUGCAGGGUAUAGACCCGAAACCCGGUGAUCUAGCCAUGGGCAGGUUGAAGGUUGGGUAACACUAACUGGAGGACCGAACCGACUAAUGUUGAAAAAUUAGCGGAUGACUUGUGGCUGGGGGUGAAAGGCCAAUCAAACCGGGAGAUAGCUGGUUCUCCCCGAAAGCUAUUUAGGUAGCGCCUCGUGAAUUCAUCUCCGGGGGUAGAGCACUGUUUCGGCAAGGGGGUCAUCCCGACUUACCAACCCGAUGCAAACUGCGAAUACCGGAGAAUGUUAUCACGGGAGACACACGGCGGGUGCUAACGUCCGUCGUGAAGAGGGAAACAACCCAGACCGCCAGCUAAGGUCCCAAAGUCAUGGUUAAGUGGGAAACGAUGUGGGAAGGCCCAGACAGCCAGGAUGUUGGCUUAGAAGCAGCCAUCAUUUAAAGAAAGCGUAAUAGCUCACUGGUCGAGUCGGCCUGCGCGGAAGAUGUAACGGGGCUAAACCAUGCACCGAAGCUGCGGCAGCGACGCUUAUGCGUUGUUGGGUAGGGGAGCGUUCUGUAAGCCUGUGAAGGUGUGCUGUGAGGCAUGCUGGAGGUAUCAGAAGUGCGAAUGCUGACAUAAGUAACGAUAAAGCGGGUGAAAAGCCCGCUCGCCGGAAGACC
rnacentral:rRNA from 1 species